rnacentral:lncRNA from 1 species
CAACUUCCUGUUUACUUCACAUGAUACAGGACCCUUCUCUGAAGAGGCCUCUGGAUCUUGGUAAAGAGGAAGCUGGCCUAUACAAACUGUCUUGGGUGCUAUCUUCCCCCUCUUCCUCUCCUGGUUCUUCUUUUACUUCUGUGUGUGCUUUGUCUGGUUUUUGUAAUGAUGACAAUGUGUCUGAGAGCAAAAUUCUUGCCUUGUUAUCCAAUUGUAAAUAAUUCCGUUUGUAAUAAUGCUGUUACCAGUGAUAUGAAUUACAUUUGGCAUUUAAGACUAGCACAUACUCCUUUGCAAAUAUGAGACAUAUUUCUGGUUUGUCUUUUCCACUUACUUUUACAUAACUUUUUCCUUGUUCUGUCGGCCCUAUGGCCAAACAAACUAGACUCCCUUUUCCUGACAGCAGUAUCAAUACUACCAGACCAUUCCAACUAAUACAUGUGGAUACUUGGGGGCCUUACCACACUUCUACUUCUUCGGGUUAUAAAUACUUCCUUACUAUAGUUGAUGACUUUUCGAGGGCAACCUGGACACACUUAAUGGGAUCCAAAAGAAAUGCUUUUUCCCUGCUUAAGUCUUUCAUCUGUUUUGUUAAAACUCAGUUUAACACUGUAGUUCAAACUGUUAGAAGUGACAAUGCCUUAGAAUUGGGAUCCAGCAUUGAGGGCAUAUCUUUCUUUAGUAUCCAGGGGAUUAUUCAUCAAACCUCCUGCCCUCAUUCACCUCAGCAGAAUGGUGUUGUUGAAAGAAAGCACAGAACCCUUCUUGAAACAUGUAGAGCCUUGCUUUUUCAAUCUGGCCUACCUGUGUCUUUCUGUGGGGAUUGUCUGUUGACUGCUACUUAUCUCCUUUAUGUAGAGCCUUGCUUUUUCAAUCUGACCUACCUGUGUCUUUCUGGGGGGUUGUCUAUUGACUGCCACUUAUCUUCUUAACAAAAUACCUUCAAGAAUUCUUCACAAUAAGUCUCCUCAUGAAAUUUUGUAUGGGAAAGCACCUUCCUAUUCUCAUUUGAGGGCAUUUGGGUGCCUUGCUUAUGCUGUUGUCCCUAUUCCUUAAAGGGACAAGCUGAAGCCUAGAGCCCUCUCUUGUGUUUUUCUGGGUUACCCCUUUGCCGUUAUGCUGCUGUCCCUAUUCCUCAAAGGGACAAGCUAAAGCCUACCCCUUUGCCAAAAAGGGUUAUAAACUGUAUGAUCUGGUUUCCAAGAAGUGUUUUGCCUCCAGGGAUGUUGUCUUCCAUGAAACUUGUUUUCCUUUUAAGAAUAAACCUUCUUCUGCUCAAAGUGUUUUGUCUCCAGGGAUGUUGUCUUCCAUGAAACUUGUUUUUCUUUUAAGAAUAAACCUUCUUCUGCUCACCCUUCUCCUUCAUCUUUUCCUUCCAUUCCUCCUGCUGAACAUUUCCCUGACAGAGAUUUUCCUCUCCAUGCUUCAUCCCCUCCAUCUGAUUCUCCUGUUCCUGCCUUUACUGAUGCUGCUCCAUCUUCCCUUCCUUCUUUCAAUCCUGAUGUCUCACCCCCUGUUUUACCUCCUUCACACUCCAGUCCUGCUCCUAGAAAGUCCACUAGACAGCAUAAUCCUCCUUUCUAUCUUAAGGAUUAUGUCUGCCAACUCCCUGCAUUUUCUGGUUCCUCUUCUUCUACUUUGGAAUCUGAACCUUUGUAUUGCUCUCAAGCUGCAUCUGUCCCAGCAUAGCAGGAUGCCAUGAGACAGGAGUUUGAUGCCUUGGAAGCUAACCAUACCUGGGAUGUUGUUCCUCUUCCUCAUGGUAAGAAACCCAUUGGCUGUAAAUGGGUCUACAAAAUCAAAUACAAGGCUGAUAGUACUGUUGAAAGGAAUAAAGCUAGGCUGGUUAUUAGGGGUGAUACUCAAGUUGAAGGGAUUGAUUUUACUGACACCUUUUCUCCUGUGAUUAAGAUGACCACUGUGAAAUGUCUUA